UAAUGUUUGUUUACAUUUAAAGGUUGGGCGAGGUCGAGGAUAUAUUGCUCGUAUACUAAAUGAGAACUGUGGAUUAAUAUGGUGGUAUCUUCAACCAAACCACCUUCAAUCUGUCUGGUUUAAUCAUGCUGCUGUUACCAACAGUCUUUCAAAUACAGACCUUAGGGACAUUUUCAAAAUAGGAGAUGCAGUGAGGUUUACUGCGGCUCGGAGUAGCGAGGCUCCGACCUCUUGGGUCGCCAGAGAGGUCGUCGUAGACCAGGUGGCCUCCGGCAUCUUUGCGUAGAGUUCAUCGGACACCAUUUUAAACAUGAUUAUUUGAAUAUCUUCCGGAGAAACAUCUUUAUUUUUAGUAUCAUUGGAAAAUUGGCCCCGGGGAAAAUACCUCUUUUUACCAAUAUUUGAUAGAAAACUGUUUCUUUUAGUUGAUGUUUAAUUGAUAUCAUUAAAAAAAAUAUUGUACGAUGCAUGUUGUAAAAAAGAGAAAACAGCUACCAAAGGGCUUCUUGAGGGCAUUGGGUGUGGCUUAAAUAUUAGCAGUAUUCGGUUAAAAACGUGAUUUUUCAUCAAAAAUUUCGAUAGGUCAUUGGUAACACACGCGUUUUAAUGCCUGAACGAUCCUUUAAUGAUCUGUAUCUGUAGAACACAUUUUUUGUAAUAUUUGUAAACAAGAAAGUUACGCGUUCACUUGAACAAGUAAUUUCUAACUUGUAAAUCUCAACAACAACAAAAACGUAAAAAUGUAAGAAAUCUCUUUCUUGGUGGUAAUUUCUGUUGUGAACCUAAAAUAAAGAAAAAGCAUUUAUAAUUGAAAAAAGAACCUCGUCAAAAUGUUCGAUGUAAUUUUAUCGAAAAUAUAUUUUCUGUAGUAAUAUAAUCUUUUUAUUCUACUCUAUUCAGUAGCGCAACGGGGGGGGGGUCGCCCCCUCAACAUAUUUGCCUAUCCCUCUCGCCUCCCUCUUCACUCGACUCUUAUGACUAUUGUCAAAUUUUGCCAAUCAAGAAAAAAAUACCAAAAAAAAUUUGACGCUUGCGUAAUAUUUAAAAUAAAAUUCCUCACUAUUUUCUCUUUUUCCACUUGAAGAAUUCAUUCUUUAUAAUAUCCUCUCACAAAAAAAAACUAGAUAUAUCUGACUUAUUCUUUUGAAUUAGAUCGUGAAAACAUCAUUAUUUAAAUUUUUGAUCUUCAUGAAUUUUAGUCAUGUAAUUGACAUCUCAGAAUGCAAUGAUUUAAAUGAAAGAAUUGUUGUCAUAUUGUUUAUACUUUAUGUAGAUAUUUAUUUUCUUGUAUAAUAACAGUCCUGAUCAAAACUAAUAAUAAAAUGGCUGGAACAUCAUUGGAAGGAGUAAAGAUGGAGUUGGAAGAAGAUAAAAUUACCAUUAAAGAAGACAGUGUUCAGUUUAUAUAAAAGAAGACGGUAUCAAGAUGGAAAAUUUUAUCAUCAAAGAAGAAAUAUCUCCUGUGGAAGAUAUGUGUACUGUGUAGUGUCUAUAUUAACGAAGAACACAAAGUUAUCAUCAAAGAAGAAAUGUGUACUAUCUAUUUAAAGGAAGAAGAUAUUAAGAUGGAAAACACAGAAAUUCAAGGUGAAGUGAGAAUUGAAGAUCCACUAGGAGUGAAGUAUCCUUGUAAUCAGUGUGAAUAUUCUGCAACAGAGCUAGGAAGUUAAAAAAAAAAAUAUACGGAGUAUUUAUGAAGGAGUAAGGUAUCCAUGUAAUCAGUGUAAAUAUUCUGCCACAGAGCCAGGAAGUUUAAAAAGACACAUACAGAGUAUCAUGGAAGAGUAAGGAAUCCCUGUAAUCAGUGUGAAUAUUCUGCAACACAGCGAGGAGAUCUGAAAAAACACAAACAACGAAAACAUGCGGAAGUCGGGUAUCCAUGUGAUUUAUGUGAAUACGUUGCAACAACAGCUGUAAAUAUAACCGUACAAAUCAAUCAACAUUCCAAAUAAAACUACACCUGUCUUGUAGUUGUACAACAUGCCAUGAUCAUAUCAAUGUUGAAAAUAUCUACAAAUAUAUAUAUAUUUAUCUUUUCAA